GUCUACGGCUAUACCACCCUGAACGCGCCCGAUCUCGUCUGAUCUCAGAAGCUAAGCAGGGUCCGGCCUGGUUAGUACUUGGAUGGGAGGAAUAACAGUAGAGAUA
ensembl:rRNA 5S_rRNA 5S ribosomal RNA